AUGGCAACAGGGCAUUCAUGCAUUGUAUGCGAGAUGAAAGAUUUUUGGAGGCACAGCUUGAUCGAGUGCGCGAUGGCACGCUGUGUUUGGGCAUUGGUUGACCUGCUAUUGCUUGAACACUUGAUUGCUACCACUGAACCAUUAGCGAGAAACGGAUUGUUCUCGAUGAUGGAAGUCCUCUCUCAUGAUGAGCUUACACGGUUGAUAGUUACGAUAUGGGCAAUAUGGACUGUCAGGAGGAAACUCAUUAAUGAGGAGAUACAUCAAAGCCUACUCUCCACACACCUGUUUGUCACAAGGUUUAUAGCAGAGCUCGAUCAGUUAAAAGAGAACGGCCAACAAGUCACAACUAGAGCUCCUAGGAGAAACAACAGGAUCCCACCCCUCAUGGGGUUUGUAAAGUUCAAUUUCGACGUAGCUGUGCCCGUUGAUCAUAACAGGGGAACUGCAGCGCGUAUUUGCAGGGAUAGAGAUGGUACAUAUUUAGGAGCUUCGGUUUUGGUGAUUCAGGGAAUGUUAGAUCCAUCCGUACUAGACGCGUUGGCGUGCAAAGAAGCUCUUGGUUUGGUCGAAGAUCUAGGAUUACAUUAUCUGCAUAUAGCAUCAGAUUGCCAAGAGGUAGUGAAGAGUAUUUGA
rnacentral:rRNA from 1 species